rnacentral:rRNA from 1 species
UUCGCCCUUAGAGUUUGAUCCUGGCUCAGAGCGAACGCUGGCGGCAGGCUUAACACAUGCAAGUCGAGCGGGCGUAGCAAUACGUCAGCGGCAGACGGGUGAGUAACGCGUGGGAACGUACCUUUUGGUUCGGAACAACACAGGGAAACUUGUGCUAAUACCGGAUAAGCCCUUACGGGGAAAGAUUUAUCGCCGAAAGAUCGGCCCGCGUCUGAUUAGCUAGUUGGUGAGGUAACGGCUCACCAAGGCGACGAUCAGUAGCUGGUCUGAGAGGAUGAUCAGCCACAUUGGGACUGAGACACGGCCCAAACUCCUACGGGAGGCAGCAGUGGGGAAUAUUGGACAAUGGGGGCAACCCUGAUCCAGCCAUGCCGCGUGAGUGAUGAAGGCCCUAGGGUUGUAAAGCUCUUUUGUGCGGGAAGAUAAUGACGGUACCGCAAGAAUAAGCCCCGGCUAACUUCGUGCCAGCAGCCGCGGUAAUACGAAGGGGGCUAGCGUUGCUCGGAAUCACUGGGCGUAAAGGGUGCGUAGGCGGAUCUUUAAGUCAGAGGUGAAAGCCUGGAGCUCAACUCCAGAACUGCCUUUGAUACUGGGGAUCUUGAGUUCGGGAGAGGUGAGUGGAACUGCGAGUGUAGAGGUGAAAUUCGUAGAUAUUCGCAAGAACACCAGUGGCGAAGGCGGCUCACUGGCCCGAUACUGACGCUGAGGCACGAAAGCGUGGGGAGCAAACAGGAUUAGAUACCUUGGUAGUCCACGCC